UACGGGGGGAGCAAGCGUUGUUCGGAUUUACUGGGCGUAAAGGGCGCGUAGGCGGUCAGCACAAGUCAGUUGUGAAAUCUCCGGGCUUAACUCGGAAAGGUCAACUGAUACCGUGCGACUAGAGUGCAGAAGGGGCAACUGGAAUUCUCGGUGUAGCGGUGAAAUGCGUAGAUAUCGAGAGGAACACCUGCGGCGAAGGCGGGUUGCUGGGCCGACACUGACGCUGAAGCGCGAAAGCCAGGGGAGCGAACGGG
rnacentral:rRNA from 1 species